rnacentral:rRNA from 1 species
GAUGAACGCUGGCGGCGUGCCUAAUACAUGCAAGUCGAGCGAACAGAUGAGGAGCUUGCUCCUCUGACGUUAGCGACGGACGGGUGAGUAACACGUGGAUAACCUACCUAUAAUACUGGGAUAACUUCGGGAAACCGGAUCGAAUACCGGAUAAUAGAUUGAACCGCAUGGUUCAAUAGUGAAAGACGGUUUUGCUGUCACUUAUAGAUGGAUCCGCGCCGCAUUAGCUAGUUGGUAAGGUAACGGCAUACCAAGGCAACGAUGCGUAGCCGACCUGAGAGGGUGAGCAGGCACCCUGGAACUGAGACACGGUCCAGACCACUACGGGAGGCAGCAGAAGGGAAUCGUACACGAGGGGCGGAAGCCUAACCGAGCACCGCCGCGUAAGUGAUAAAGGUCUUCGGAUCGUAAAAGUAUGUUGUUAGUAAGGGGCAAAUGUGUGAGUAACUAGGCACGUCUUGAAGGUACCGAAUCAGAAAGCAACGGCUAACUCCGUG